rnacentral:rRNA from 1 species
CCCUUAGAUGUUCUGGGCCGCACGCGCGCUACAAUGAUGAAUUCAACGAGUUUAUAACCUUGGUUGAAAAGCCUGGGUAAUCUUUUGAACUUUCGUCGUGAUGGGGCUAGACCCUUGCAAUUAUUGGUCUUCAACGAGGAAUUCCUAGUAAACGCAAGUCAUCAGCUUGCAUUGAUUACGUCCCUGCCCUUUGUACACACCGCCCGUCGCACCUACCGAUUGAAUGGUCCGGUGAAAUCUUCGGAUUGAGACUUUGAUUUCUUCACGGAAAACGCUGUUUUAAAAAGUUGAUUAAACCUUACCAUUUAGAGGAAGGUGAAGUCGUAACA